rnacentral:rRNA from 1 species
ACGCACGCUGGCGGCGUGCCUAAUACCUGCAAGUCGCACGAGAGCGACCGGUGCUUGCACUGGUCAAUCUAGUGGCGAACGGGUGAGUAACACGUGGGUAACCUGCCCAUCAGAGGGGGAUAACAUCCGGAAACGGAUGCUAAAACCGCAUAGGUCUUCGAACCGCAUGGUUUGAAGAGGAAAAGAGGCGCAAGCUUCUGCUGAUGGAUGGACCCGCGGUGCAUUAGCUAGUUGGUGAGGUAACGGCUCACCAAGGCCGUGAUGCAUAGCCGACCUGAGAGGGUGAUCGGCCACAUUGGGACUGAGACACGGCCCAAACUCCUACGGGAGGCAGCAGUAGGGAAUCUUCCGCAAUGGACGCAAGUCUGACGGAGCAACGCCGCGUGAGUGAAGAAGGUUUUCGGAUCGUAAAACUCUGUUGUUAGAGAAGAACAAGUGCUAGAGUAACUGUUAGCGCCUUGACGGUAUCUAACCAGAAAGCCACGGCUAACUACGUG